UUAUAAAGGGCCGCGGUAUUACUGACUGUGCAAAGGUAGCAUAAUCAUUAGGUUUUUAAUUAGGAUCUUGUAUGAAUGGUUGGACGAGAGAAAGACUGUCUUUGUAUUUAUAAUUUGAAUUUAACUUUUAAGUGAGAAGGCUUAAAUAAACUAAGGGGACGAUAAGACCCUAUAAAACUUUACAUAGAAGUUAUAUUUAAUUUAAUUUUUUUUAUAAAAAUUUAAUUUAGUUAUUGUUUUAUUGGGGAGAUAAGAGUAUAAAUUUAUAUUAACUGCUAAGGAUUUAAACAACUAUUGGUGAAUAAAUUAUAGAUCCAUUAUUAUGAUUUAAAGAGUAAGUUACUUUAGGGAUAACAGCGUUAUUUUUUUUGAGAGUUCAUAUCGAAAAAGAAGUUUGCGACCUCGAUGUUGAAUUAAAUUAUCUAUAUAAUGUAGAUGUUAUAUGAGAAGGKCUGUUCGACCUUUAAAAAUUUACAUGAUUUGAGUUCAGACCGGCGUGAGCCAGGUUGGUUUCUAUCUCUUAGAGAAA
rnacentral:rRNA from 1 species